AUUGAACGCUGGCGGCAGGCCUAACACAUGCAAGUCGAGCGGAUGAAGGGAGCUUGCUCCUGGAUUCAGCGGCGGACGGGUGAGUAAUGCCUAGGAUUCUGCCUGGUAGUGGGGGAUAACGUCCGGAAACGGGCGCUAAUACCGCAUACGUCCUGAGGGAGAAAGUGGGGGAUCUUCGGACCUCACGCUAUCAGAUGAGCCCAGGUCGGAUUAGCUAGUUGGUGGGGUAAAGGCCUACCAAGGCGACGAUCCGUAACUGGUCUGAGAGGAUGAUCAGUCACACUGGAACUGAGACACGGUCCAGACUCCUACGGGAGGCAGCAGUGGGGAAUAUUGGACAAUGGGCGAAAGCCUGAUCCAGCCAUGCCGCGUGUGUGAAGAAGGUCUUCGGAUUGUAAAGCACUUUAAGUUGGGAGGAAGGGCAGUAAGUUAAUACCUUGCUGUUUUGACGUUACCAACAGAAUAAGCACCGGCUAACUUCGUG
rnacentral:rRNA from 1 species